rnacentral:rRNA from 1 species
UGGGGAAUAUUGCGCAAUGGGCGAAAGCCUGACGCAGCGACGCCGCGUGAGGGAUGAAGGUUUUCGGAUCGUAAACCUCUGUCAGAAGGGAAGAAACCGCACUGUGCUAAUCAGCAGUGCCUUGACGGUACCUUCAAAGGAAGCACCGGCUAACUCCGUGCCAGCAGCCGCGGUAAUACGGAGGGUGCAAGCGUUAAUCGGAAUUACUGGGCGUAAAGCGCACGUAGGCUGCUUUGUAAGUCAGGGGUGAAAUCCCACGGCUCAACCGUGGAACUGCCUUUGAUACUGCUUAGCUUGAAUCCGGGAGAGGGUGGCGGAAUUCCAGGUGUAGGAGUGAAAUCCGUAGAUAUCUGGAGGAACAUCAGUGACGAAGGCGGCCACCUGGACCGGUAUUGACGCUGAGGUGCGAAAGCGUGGGGAGCAAACAGG